CUAGUGGCGGACGGGUGAGUAACGCGUGAGAAUCUGCCAAAAGGACUGGGACAACCACUGGAAACGGUGGCUAAUACCAGAUGUGCCGCAACGUAAAAGAGGAAACUCGCCUUUUGAGGAGCUCGCGUCUGAUUAGCUAGUUGGUGAGGUAAAAGCUCACCAAGGCAACGAUCAGUAGCUGGUCUGAGAGGACGACCAGCCACACUGGGACUGAGACACGGCCCAGACUCCUACGGGAGGCAGCAGUGGGGAAUUUUCCGCAAUGGGCGAAAGCCUGACGGAGCAAGACCGCGUGAGGGAGGAAGGCUCUUGGGUCGUAAACCUCUUUUGUCAGGGAAGAACACAAUGACGGUACCUGACGAAUCAGCAUCGGCUAACUCCGUGCCAGCAGCCGCGGUAAUACGGAGGAUGCAAGCGUUAUCCGGAAUUAUUGGGCGUAAAGCGUCCGUAGAUGGUUUUGCCAGUCGGCUGUCAAAGCGCAGGGCUUAACCCUGUAAAGGCAGUGGAAACUACAAGACUAGAGUGCAGUAGGGGCAGAGGGAAUUCCCAGUGUAGCGGUGAAAUGCGUAGAGAUUGGGAAGAACACCCGUGGCGAAAGCGCUCUGCUGGACUGCAACUGACAUUGAGGGACGAAAGCUAGGGGAGCGA
rnacentral:rRNA from 1 species